ACCCUAAUGAAUGUCUCUGGUUACUGGUUUGGUGGUACUCCUCCUGAAUGGGACUGCUUCACUCCCGUCUGUCUGGUACGGAGAAAAAGAAUGGCUAUUGAAACCCACAAAUACAUGCUUAAUCAAGCAUUGAAGCAAAAUUCCAAACACUAAAGUCAAAGAAAUUUUAAAUAUCAUCCAGCAGGGAUGCCUACGACCAGCGACAUGAGACCUGCGCUAGGAUCUGCCACAAUCGCC
rnacentral:lncRNA from 1 species